UCAGGAUGCAGUUAUUCAUCUCCCCUGAAUUCUGAUGGUUGCAUCAGGAGGAUCUGA
rnacentral:snoRNA from 1 species